GGAAGCAAAAUGCAAAUCCCCUGAUUAUGGUCUGACUCCUGUUCCAGUGCAGACACGGAGGGUAAGUUGGCAAUCUCCUCAGAGAUGGAGCAACUACAGACAGCUCUUUUUUUUGAUAAUCUUCCUGACACUUGGAUGAGACUGGCUUAUCCAUCAACAUACAGUUGCUCAGUGGAGCCUCCUGAGUAAGGCAAAGAGCCACUGACUGAUGGAGUGUUAGAGGACUGGAGAGCUGACCAAAGGACAGGAAAGCUCUGCCAAGCACAAAGACAGGUAGCACUAGAAGGCAAAACAAGCCCACUCUUCCAAGAUCAGUACAGACUUCUGAGAGAUCAAAAGUGGAAGAAGAAAUCUUGUUCAUCAGAAGACACAUUGAGAAGAGCAUCAGAGGUGAGAAAGGGAUAGCUGUCAACAGGAUGUGGAUGAAAGCACCAGUAACUCAUUUGGAAAAGAACUAGCACCAGAAUAAAUGCACAACAGCUUACCAGGCUGAGAGAGGACAGGAUCUGCUGGUCUGAACGAUGGUUUGAUCAGUUACGAGGGGGGUGAAGUCUUCAGUUUGAAAAAUAUUAUUCUGCUUCCUGGGUCUGCAAAAGACAGGACCAGACUGCAAGGGAAAGCCUGGAGAGGAUUUCCAUGCUUUAAAAAGAGAAACAGGGGAACACUGAAUUUCCUGAGGUCACUGAGGAAACGCAUGGCAGUGCUAGGAAAAGAAGCACUCGAGCAGCCGAGAUACCAUCUUCACAGCCAAAACCAGAUGGGUUUUCUCUGCAGUGUGACAUAACAGCAAAGACAGAGCAGUUUAACCAUUCCGGUGCAGUGAACAACUUCCGCGCUGCUGUGAGCUUGACUCCUAGCCUCAAGAUCUCACCCUCCCUAGUGUUGUCUGGAUAUCAAUUUUUUUCAACCCCCAGUCCUUCCUCACAGAUGUGGAGGAACCUCAGUCUCACCAACACUGGAUGAAAAAUACCUGUGUUUCCAGAUAGGCUGUCAAACAAAGCAUAACCUCCCUCAUCUCACUAGUGGUGGGAUUUGGUGGCACUUGCUGAAUGAUCUUCACACAAAGAGCAACUACAAGACAGCUUCUCUCCCCUGUUUGUAUUCUCCCAGAAACACACUAACCACAGCACUGCAGAGCUCAGUACAACUACUGAUCCACAAAUAUUAUUGAGCUCUUCCUCUGUUAUGUCCUCAACU